GCGAGGCCCUCUCGCGCUAUGACGGCCAGUGCGGAGGCGCGGGGGCGGCGCCCAGGAGUCGGGGUAGGAGUAGUGGUGACCAGCUGCAGGCAUCCUCGCUGCGUCCUCCUGGGGAGGAGGAAAGGGUCAUUUGGAGCCGGCAAAUUCCAACUUCCUGGGGGCCACUUGGAGUUCGGUGAAAGCUGGGAAGAAUGUGCUCAAAGGGAAACCUGGGAAGAAGCAGCUCUUCACCUGAAAAAUGUUCGCUUUGCCUCGGUUGUGAAUUCUUUCGUUGAGGAAGAGAAUUACCAUUAUGUCACUAUUUUAAUGAAAGGAGAGGUGGAUGUGACUCAUGAUUCAGAACCAAAGAAUGUAGAGCCUGAGAAAAAUGAAAGUCUUAGUAGCGGCACACGGGAUCUUCACUGUGGCAUGCGGGAUCUUAGUUCCCCAACCAGGGAUCGAACCUGCGUCCCCUGAUUGGAAGGCGGAUUCUUAACCACUGGACCACCAGGGAAGUCCCUAAAGUUGUUUUCUUAAUUGCUUAUGUUUUCAAAGUUAUAUACGCACAUUGUAUAGUUUACCAUUUACAAAUCUCAUUUUCUAUUUUAUUUUAACAGACUUUUUUUUAAGAGUGUGAGAGGAGCCCAAGUGAAAUUAGUGUAUAUUCCUUGAACUUAUGAAUUUCACAGUUUUUCCUACUCCUGUUUGAUUACUCCAUAUCCUUCUGUUGCUUGCUCAUUAGUUUUACUCCCUUCCUCAACUGACAUAAUCCUUGUUUGUCCCUGGCUCCUCCCUAAAUGAUAGACAUGGGUGGCUUGAUAAGAAGAACCCAGGCAGCCUUGUAGGUGAAACUCCUCCAUGGCUUUAUCCCAAAUUUGGUUGAUUGGGAAUUCAUUGAGAUAUGUCUUUAUGCCAGUACUUAUCCAAGCAGGUGUUUUAUAGUUUCAGAAACUUAUCACAAACCUGAGGAGUUUUUUCUGUAUCUGCUACUUUUCAAUUUUUAGUAGACAAACUCAUUAGGAGCUUGUGAGGUUUUCCAUUUGUUUGUUUUAAAUUCACCAAAUUAGACAUGAAGGUCUAUUUCAAUGAAAAGAAAAAAACCAACCUGGGCCCUUAUUUAUAGUAAAAAGUAAAAAGCUAAGUUUCAUGUUAGAGGGGGAUUGCACUUACUCGGCACCCAGCAUGCUCAGUGGCAUCCAAUAAUCACUCUGUAAAUUUCUCUCUAAAAGAGUGAAUGACCAGAGCAGGAUUUAGAGCUCUUUAAGUAAGCAGUUAAUUCUUAAAUGUUUUGAGAAUUGCCUUUAAUUGAAAAAACUACUACUACUCGCAGUAUUCUCAUGAAAUGUCUAUACCUCACUCUGCCAGGAUACUGGCAAGUCUGAAAUAGCUCUUCAUGUAUUUGCUAAAUCAAGCCCCGAGGUGUCCUCUAUCCCAAGAUAGGCAAGUGCUCCUACACUGACCCUCACAACAUCCGAGCAGAGGUCUGCCCAGCGGAACAUCAUGUGAAUUCGGCCUCCCUGAGAUCCACCUGGAAGAGGCAGUUCUUCAUUAUCUGGACUGCCAGCUUUCCAGAUAAGGCAAAUAUUCCUUCAGAUGAAAUAUUCUCUUCUUGGGGGCAUCAAGGAUCAUUUAGGGAUCCUGGAGAAGGAGAGCUCAGGGAGUCAUCUGUAAGGGAGGAAACAAAGUCUUCCAACAUAAACUCAAUCAUAUAUUGAUGCUGCCUCUUUUAUUUUUAAAUUAUUUAUGUUGUACUUAGAAAUCAGUGUUGCACUUGAGUAGUGCUUGUGAAAAAUGCAAAUUAAAAAUAACAGUAGGCAUUGACUGAGAGGUGUGUACUAAGCUUUCCAUUUUAUGUACCUCAAGAAAUUGAACACGUAAGUUAAGGCCCCCCAUAAACAUUUAAUUUGCAUCUACUAUGUGCCAAAUAUUGUGGUAGAUGCUUAAUAAUAUUUACACUGUAAAUUGAAUCUAUCACACUUCCUUAAUGCCAAAUUCCCAUUCUAGAUUUCCCAUUUUUAUGUUUAAAAUGUUUAAGUAUUUGGCUUUCUGCAUAAUGUCACUUAAUAGCUUUAUAUGCACUAAGUUAUAUCACUCCUCAUUUUAUUUACAAGAACAAUUUAUGGGCAAACAGAACUAAGUAGCAAGCAACCAAGCUUAUCACCAGAUUCAAUUUGCCUUGGUAUUCUGUCCUCUAUUCUUCUGUUUUUCUUUACAGAUUCACUUUCCACCUAUUGUUUGAUGGCUCCGCAAACAACAUUAUCUUCAGCUCAAACCUUUUUCCUAAACUCCAGAUCACACACCAAUCACACACCAGUCAUCUCUAGAGUCACUACUACUGCUUGAGGAGUCUGUUGACAUAACCUCUACAUCAUCUUCAUUUUCUUUGUUAUGUCCUGGAGGUUCCAACAAAAAGUCAUUACUGUGAUUUGGUGGUAACAUAUUCAUUGCUAUGUCAUUUGACUGCCAUGGAUACUGUGGGGCAAGGACAUCUGGAGAAAAGAAAGAAGCACAUAUGAGAACAUCUUUACUAAAAAUUAAUUUACUUCUUAGUUAUACUUUCCUUCAUGCAAAUAAUCUGAAGUAAAAUUUCUUAAAAGGCUAGAAAUCAAAAUAUACAUUUGGCCAAUAAUCAAAAAAUGUGAUGUUUUAGUAACGUGAUGUUUAGACUCUGGUUUAUUUUUUUUAAAUCAUACUUUCCUAUAGUCACUAUUCAAGAUGUUCAUAAUUUCAAAUCGAAUGUCUCAUGUCUAUACAUAUUUUAUGCACAUAUAUAAUAAGUCAUAUAUAGUACUUUCUAUAUAUUCUCUCUAUAUAUAAGUAGCUAAUGUAAACUAUACUGUGUAUUCCAGUUUAAACUGCCUCUUAAGCUUCAAUUCCACUCUUCUCCCUGGACCCUGAAAACACUUCUCCUUUGCCAGCAGCCACAAUGUUAAGCUCUGUCAGUAGAGCGCACUGCAAGGACUCUACAGGAGGAACAGGCUUCCCUUCCGGGAUCCUGCGUUUCCCUCCUGUGGUGUCUGGUGGGUGUGUAGGACAUCAGUGGCAUCCCAGUUGGAUGACUUCCCAGCAAGUCUCCCUUGGACCCUAGUGGAUAAUUUCCUACUUGCCGGCUCUGGCCUGUGACACCUCAUCUAACUUCUCUGCCAUCCAACAGGCCAGAGCUACACCUUUUCCACUCCGGGCUGAAUAUCAGCCUUGGGAUGGGGGGGGGGGGGAGCCUCGUCUCAGUCGGUCCCUUCCUUGGCUAUCUGCCUCAUCCUACAUGCAGUAGCUGCCCCCUGCAUCUGUUAUUACUGCAUUUAGAAAAUAUACUUCUCUUUACUGUCUAGUAGUUAGUACCUGGUUACUACUCAGUAGCUCUUUACAUUUUCCUUCAUAUUUGCUGGUGUGGUUUCUGCCUCCUGCCUGGACCUGACUGGCAUAUUAUGACACAGUAAAACCACAAUGAGAAAAAUGAGGAGAUACCAAGGGAAACUAAUGCACAGUGACUUCCCAGUUUGUACUUUAGAUAGUUAACAACAGCGAUGUUUAUAAAAUUAUUUUUAAUAACACAGGGACAGCCUUACAAUGAAAUGUUAAGCAUAAAAAAGCAUUAUCUACAGUAUGUUUUUAGCGAUGUAAAAAAUACACGAAAAAACAUGAAAUAUGUAAAAUAUUAAAACUGCUCAAAAAAGAGCAAUUUUCCCCUUUUUUAUGCCUUUUAAAAAACUUUUAAUAUGUUCUACCAGAUCAAAACAAAACAAGUCACCUACAAAAGGUAAAAGGGGAACAUAAAAUAAACAUAAGAACAGUACAAACCUAUAUGCAAAAUCUGAGGAAGGCUGAAGUUCAGAAUGAACUGAGUCUCACAAAAAGUGAUACUCUAUUUAGGUAUUAAAACGCCCAUAAAAAGCUUUGUUAGUCACUUUGUUAAUCUGGGGUUUUUUCCAAGUGUGCUCACUUGGUAUUCUUUAAACUGAACAUACAUACAUCUUAUCCUGUUUAUAAAAUAUACUUCAUUUUAAAAAGCUAUGUUUGGAGCUUAGUUAAUGAGGCCUAAUUCCUGAGGAAAAUGGCACAUAAAAUCAGUUUAUUCUGAUUUCAUAGCCUCCAUCUAGAACAGUCUUUAAACUAGAGGAAGCAGAGAGGAUAAACUGGUAGAGAACCUAGCAACUAAAAUGAGUUGGGUCCAGACCCUCAAACUUGUUCAGAUCUCUGUCUUCCUCAUCAUUUCUGAAAAAAACCUUUGUUUGAAAGCAUUAUUCUGAUUAACGUUACCUGGCAAUCUGCCUGCUGCAAGUGCGUCCCCUGGUAGAUGACCGUUCACUCCAUUAGUGGAAGGGUUGUUCAUCUGGCCCAAUAAUCCACUUCUCAUCUCCAAAUCAGUUGGGUAUGGUCUCCGUGGGUCCCCUAAAAAAUAAGACUGCUUUUAAUUCAGUCACAUAUGAAAAUAAGCUUUGAUACCUUCUCUGAAAUAUUGAUUUUCCUUGGUUCGCUUUGAAGAACUCAAGCCACAUUUUCAAUUUUGGAAUAUAAAGGUCAUCUUAUCAAUUGUUAUUAAGACAUAAUAUAUUAAAAUUUUAAAUACAUGUAUUUUUAUUUCUUCUCUAGAUCUUCACAAUAAUACACUAUUCUCUAUAUGAAAAGAAGUCUCUCAUUUAAGCAAACAUUCCAAAUGACAAAGAAAAGUAUAAUCUUGAGUCUUCUAAAUUAAAACCUUUUCCUAACCAACCUCUUUGAUCACGUAAUUUAAAGACUAAUUCCUGGGGAUUUCCCUGGCGGUCCAGUGGCUAAGACUCCGCGCUUCCACUGCAGGGGGCGCGGGUUCCAUCCCUGGUCCAGGAACUAAGGUCCCACACGCCGCAUGCUGCGGGGAGGUUGGAAGGAAAGCUAAUUCCUGUAACAUUCCAGUGGAGUAUCAGGAGCCAAUAACAUUCAUUUCCAAUCAUGAAAGCACACUUUUUAGUUCUGGGUUGAUGAAAACUUGGCCAGAUUUGGACCAAUUUUUUGGUAAUAUUUUCUCACCAACUCCAGAUUAUUUAUCCUCCAAAACCGUAGCUACCCUUAGUGUUUCAGGUAUGGCAAAAUACCACCGUCAGGACUGACUAGAGCUGAGAUAACUACCUCCCAUUCCUCCCAAAAGGCUGCUGCUCUACCUGACGUCUCUGCUGUCAGUAUAUGUAGCAAGGGACUUCCCUGAUGGCGCAGUAGAUAAGACUCUGCGCUCCCAAUGCAGGGGGCCGGGGUUCAAUCCCUGGUCGGGGAACUAGAUCCCACAUGCCACACAGCAACUAAGAGUUGGCAUGCCGCAACUAAGGAGACCGCCUGCAGUGACUAGGGAGCCCACGUGUCGCAACUAAGACCUGAUGCAACCAAAUAAAUAAAAGUUAAAAAAUAUAUAUAUAUAUGUGGCAGUUUAUUUCUCUGCUAUUUCUAAUUACUCCAGCUCUCUGCAGUCCUGUGUGUCUGCUGCUGGGUGUCCAGUGCUUCAUCUUUAUCCCCUAAGAGUCGGGACUGUCUCUUUCUCAGGCUGGAACCCUUGUGGAAAUCCUAAUGGCUCAAAAAAGUUAGCUUCUGGCCAGCCUGCGUUUUACAGGUAUAUAAAUCUAUAGCUUUAGAAUCAUCACAUAUUAUACUUUUAAAAUUUAUUAAUUACUUAUUUUUUUUUAAAAAAGGAAAGAAACACAGUUUCCAGUGGCAAGAGCUUUGUAGAAAACCAAACUGAUAAAACCCCAUGGCCUAUAUUAUCACUUAUAAGACACUAAAGAUGUGAAAAUAUGAAACAUGUUUCUAAGGAUAAAUACAUGCCAUAUUUAAAUCUUUUCUUCCUAUUUUUGUGUACAGUCACCUAAGAAUUUUCAAAACCACAUGUAUCUAGUAAAAAGAGAAUUACUUUUACCUGGGACCCAGGUCAGUGGGGCACACACAGCAUUACUUGCACUAAUCCUAUGUGCAUACUUAAUUAUUUCUUCAGAGGAGAUAGCACCUGAGAGAGUCAAGAGGAUAGUGUUAACAUUUCAGUCUAGUAAACAUACAAGUUUGUCAGUGCAUACAUCACAGAUACACUUCAUACUUAAAAUAUAUACAUUAGAUUAAAAAAGUACACUAGUAAAUAAUAUGUAUAGCACAACCUGGUUUUUAUUUUAGAAUAUAUGUAUUUGUAUUGUUCUUGUUACGUAUGUAUUACAGAUCUAAGAAAAAUCUGGAAGAACACACAUCAAACAUUUAACAGCAGUUAAUCUAAAAUAGGACAAGAGGCGAGUUAGAUGUAAAUCAUACCUACAAAUCAUUAAAAGUAACCAAAGUCUUCAUUAUAAUUCUGACUUUUAGUAUGCAAUCUAAAAGAUCCACAAUGGAAGCCUUUGAAAGAGAGAAGCAGGACAGGACGAGAAGCCAUGCUGAGCCUCUCGAAGCACCACUACAUGUGCACACAUCCCAAAGCGUUAUCUAGUUCUGACUUCACAGUCUUUCAAGAUCCACCUCAAAUCCCAUUUGCUUCCAGCCCAUGUUCUCCUCUCCCAACAAUUUAAAAAACCCACUGUCUUUAUUGCACGUUUGGGUAAUAGCCGUAACUUCUAUUAUUGCUUUUUAUAACCUGGAAAAGGAUGUGACACCUCCCUAGCAAUGCCCAGCAUAGUGCUAUAUAGCAGACACUUUAUAAGAAAAUUUAUUGGAAACUUUUCAACAGCAGCAAAUGAUUACCAAUAAUCCUCUCAUCAGUUUCUUGAAACCAAAAUUUGGAUUUUUCAGAAAGUCAUUCAGUGUUCCCACAGUACUAACCUUUUCUUGCUUUUUCUAUUGACUUGAGUUUUUCUUUUGCUUGGUAAACAGCUGUUGCCUAAUUUAAACAACAUUAAAAAAAGAAAUAUGGAUUAUUCAAAACUAUACCAAGCCCAGUUUUUGGCUAAAUUCACAAAAUCAUUUAUCCCAUAGAAACAAUAUGUAAAAUUUGGAAAUCCCCACAAUUUAUUUGUAAUAUUCUGAACCACCACUUGGGUAUCAUUUGUAUCAGUUACAGUCAAGAAAAAAAGAAACAUUUAUGAGUCAAUCUCCAUACACAUUAGUUGUUAGAAACAAAAUGUAAAUUGGAUUGUUCACUACCAUUUUUUCUUUAUGUCAUCUAUCAUAAACAGGCAGAAAACAGACCACGUACUACUCCCAAAGCAUCCUAUUCUUAUAUCUAGUUCAAGGAUAAAAUACCAAAAAAAUUUUUUUUCUAGUUUACAAGAUAAAUUCUUGGAUUGAUAGUCUCAUUCAUUUAUACAUUACCAUUACCUCCAUGCUUAAUGACUAUUAUAAUGAACUCUUCCACCCACCCUCCCCUGGGCAAAGGCAAACUAAAGGGUAAAAUGAAGCUAACCUAGUAUAUGCAUCCUCCACCGUAACACAGCAUUUAAGAGUAUGGAGUCAGAGAGAUCUAGGUUUAUGUUCCAUCUCUCAACUUUUACCUCUUGGGCAAGGUAGGUAUUCAUUUAAAAUUAUGGUUUUGUCUGUAAAAAUAGAAUAACGGUACUGACCUCAUAUAACUGUGAUGAAGAUUGAGAUAAUACACAUGAAGUGCAAAGUACAGGGCCUGGUGCACUAGUACUUAAUAACUGUUAGUUGCCACUAUCUAAAUCAUAAAAUUUAGUCUUUUUAUAGUCCUUGUGUUCACUGUCUUUUGGAAAUCUAAUCUAGAGAGGAGCCAGCAAUGUCUGGUCCAUAUGAGAAUCAAACUCAGGUCUUCCUGCAAUACCACCACAUAACAAUGACAUUAGUUAGUAUUUAGUGAAAUAACUGAGCAAAUAAUAACAAAUAAAUUGUCUCUUUGAAAUAGUAGCCAAGAACAAGAAAGGAAAAACUAGAGUCCUUAACAUAUAUCUAUAUCUAUUUACAUAUAAAUCCCAUCUAGUUUAGGAUGGAAGACUAAAUAAAUGUAAAUUUUAAUCAAUAUAUAAAAUUGGUAUAUACUUUUACUGAUUUCAAAAAUUAUUUCUAAAACUGAAGUAGAGAUUUAGACUAUUAACAAAUGAAAACUUAGGACAGGAUAAAAGUAAAACUUCCCAUUUCUAUUAAUUCAAACUUGUGAAAUCUUCAAAUAAUGAAAAUAUGGCUCAAAAGUAAUGCAGACUAUCGGAAAACAAUAAUUAAAAAGGGAGGGACUUCCCGGUGGUCCAGUGGUAAAGAAUCCGCCUUCUUCUUGGUCAGGGAACUGAGAUCCCACAUCUCAGUUGCCGCGGGGCAACUAAGCCCACGUGCCGCAACUACUGAGCUCGUGCGCCUCAAUGAGAGAGCCCUCGUGCUGCAACUACAGAGCCCACUCACUCUCGAGCCCACAUGCCACAACUAGAGAGAAGCCCGCGUGCCACAAUGAAAAGAUCCUGCGUGCCGCAACUAAGACAAGACGCAGCCAAAUAAAUAAAUAAAAUAAACGAAUAAAAUAAAUAAACAUUAAAAAAAAAAGGGAAUGACAUGGUCUUUCAUCUAACCAAAGUGACAAGGGGUCACUUUUAGACUUGGAAAUUCAAGUUUUCUACCACUUCAAAAUUGUAAUAGAUUUAUUUUUCAGAAAUAGAGUAAAUAGUAUCCUUUUUUACAUUAAGAAACAGCCUCUAUCAACUUACCAGUAUCUGUUCCGCUUCCUUUAGCUGUUUUUGUAGUUGCUGAAUAUCACUGUCUCUUUUUUCUACUUCUUUUUCUAAAACUUGCAUUUCAUGAUGGAUUUUUCCCUGAUUAAGUGCCAAUUUCAUUAGUUCUUGAAAUUCCCCAUCUCUAUGAAUUAACAACUCCAGGACCUGUCAGAUAAUAGGUGAUUAAAGCAGACUACAGAAUACUGAAGAACUACAUUCCAGUGAAACAAAGAAUCCACAUGUGAAUUGGCUAGUCCAUAAAGUCUUAACACCUUCAAAGUACUGUUUACUAAUCAUUGUUAAAAAUAGCCUACCUAUGAUUAUUUUAGAAGAGAUUAAUAUCAAGGUUUUCUGCUUUUUCUAAUUAUAUGCUAUUCUUUCACACAAAAUAAAACAAACCUUUCAGAACUAGCAAUAUGCCAAAAUGAGCAGGUUUAUUCAUUUCUCAGGGAAGGUAAAAUUUGAGAUGAUUUUAUUAGUUGACACCAGGAACUGAACAGACAUUUCUCCAAACAUAUACAAGCGGCCAAAAAUACAUGAGAAGGUAUUCAACUUCACUAAUCACCAGGGAAGUGCAAAUCAACACAACUGGAUAUGACCCUGCACCAGCUAGAACAGCUAUAAUCAGAAGGACAAAAGAUAACAAAUGUUGGUGAGAAUGUGGAGACAAAGGGAACCCUUAGAAUCUGAAUUGGUGCAACUACUGUGGAAAACAUUCCAUUAAGUGUGGAGGUUACUUAAAAAAUUAAAAUUAGAACUACCAUAUGAUCCAGCAAUUCUACUUCUGAGUAUUUAUCCAAAGGAAAUGAGAUCACUAUUUUCGAAAAGAUAUCUGCACUCGUAUGUUCACUGUAGCAUUAUUCACAAUAGCCAAGACAAGGAAGUAAUCUAAAUGUCCAUGAAUGGAGGAAUGGAUAAAGAAAACGUGAUGUAAAUCUAUACACAUGCACACACACACAAAGGAAUAUCAUUCAGCCACAAAAAAAGAAGGAAAUCUUGGCAUCUGGGAUAACAUGGAUGGACCUUAAGAACAUUGCAUUAAAGGAAAUAAGUCAGACAGAAAAAGACAAACACCGUAUGAUCUCAGUUAUAUGUGGAAUGUAAAAAGAGCCAAACACAUAGAAAAAGAGCUCAGAUUGGUGGCUGCCAGGGGGAAGGCGGCAAAAUGGGUAAAGGUGGUCAAAAGGUACAAACUCCAGGCUAUAAGAUAAAUAAGUUCUGGAAAUAUAACGUACACCAUGGUGACUAUAAUUAAGAAUACAGUACUGUAAAUUUGAAAAUAGCUACGAGAAUAAAUCUCAGCAACUUCAAAAAGUUCUUAAAAAAUGUGCAGGAGCUUCCCUGGUGGCGCAAUGGUUGAGAGUCUGCCUGCCGAUGCAGGGGACACGGGUUCGUGCCCCGGUCUGGGAAGAUCCCACAUGCCGCGGAGCGGCUGGGCCCGUGAGCCAUGGCCGCUGAGCCUGCGCGUCCAGAGCCUGUGCUCCACAAUGGGAGAGGCCACAACAGUGGGAGGCCCGCAAAAAAAAAAAAAAAAAAUGUGCAGAGGAACUGAACAGACGUUUUUCCAAAGACAUACAAAUGGUCAACAGGUACAUGAAAAGGUGCCACUUUCCCUGCAAUUUUCUUAGAAGUUUUUAUCAUAAGAAGAGAAAGGACUUCCCUGGUGGUACAGUGGUUAAGAAUCCGCCUGCCAAUGCAGGGGACACAGGUUCGAGCCCUGCUCUGGGAAGAUCCCAUAUGCUGCAGAGCAACUAAGCCCGUGUGCCACAACUAAUGAAGCCCAUGUGCUCCACAACAAGAAAAGGCUGCGCACCGCAACAAAGAGUAACCCCUGCUCACUACAACUAGAGAAAGACCAUGUGCAGCAACAAAAACCCAAUGCAGCCCAAAAUAAAUAAAUAAAUAGAUAGAUAGAUAAAUAAAUAAAAUUUGUUUAAGGAAAAAAAAAAUAAAGAAAAGAAAACUGGGCACUUCCCUGGUGGUCCAGUGGUUAAAACUCCACACUUCCACUGCAGGAGGCAUGGGUUCCAUCCCUGCUUGGGGAACUAAGAUCCCACAUGCCGCGUGGUAUGGCAAAAAAACAAACAAACAAACAAACUUAACCAUGUGAGGUGAUGGAUGUUAACUAAACUUACUGUGGUAAUCAUUUUGCAUUAUGUACCUAUAUCAAAUUGUUAUGAUAUACAUCUUAAACUAAUACAAUAUUACAUGUCGGGCUUCCCUGGUGGCACAGUGGUUGAGAGUCCACCUGCCGAUGCAGGGGACACGGGUUCGUGCCCCGGUCCAGGAAGAUCCCACAUACCGCGGAGCGGCUGUGCCUGUGAGCCAUGGCCGCUGAGCCUGCGCAUCCGGAGCCUAUUGCUCCGCAACGGGAGAGGCCACAACAGUGAGAGGCCCGCGUACCGCAAAAAAACAAAAAAAACACACAAAAAAACAAUAUUACAUGUCAAUUAUAC